AACUUUUAACAACGGAUCUCUUGGCUCUCGCAUCGAUGAAGAACGCAGCGAAAUGCGAUAUGUAAUGUGAAUUGCAGAAUUCAGUGAAUCAUCGAAUCUUUGAACGCACCUUGCACCCUUUGGCAUUCCGAAGGGUAUGCUCGUUUGAGUGUCAUUGUACUCUCACACUCCCGAUGCUUUUGGAUUGGGAGUGGUGGACUUGGGUGUUGCUGCUUUACUGUGGCUCACCUCAAAUGGAGUAGUGCAACUCUUGGUUGGACAUAGUACGGCGUGAUAAGUGUCUUCGCCGGCGCCUCAUUAGAGGGUGGCCGAUCGGGAGCUCUGUGCUUCAAACCGUCUUCGGACAACAUCUGACAACUUGACCUCAAAUCGAGUAGGACUACCCGCUGAACUUAAGCAUAUCAAUAAGCGGAGGCU
rnacentral:misc_RNA from 1 species